AUUCCCAGGGUAGCAUAACAUUGUAAGAAACAUUUAUUGCGUCUUACACUGCUGUGCUACCCAGGGUAG